GGUCAUCCGUAGGGGGUAACCUGCGGAGGGAUCAUACCGAGUACAACUCCCAAACCCCUGUGAACAUACCAAGUUGCCCCUCGGCGGCCCCAAAUCAGCCCGCUCCCGGUAAAACGGGACGGCCCGCCAGAGGACCCCUAAACUCUGUCUAUAUGUAACUUCUGAGUAAAACCAUAAAUAAAUCAAAACUCAACAACGGAUCUCCCUGGUUCUGGCAUCGAUGAAGAACGCCCAGCAAAAUGCGAUAAGUAAUGUGAAUUGCAGAAUUCAGUGAAUCAUCGAAUCUGAACGCACAUUGCGCCCGCCAGUAUUCUGGCGGGCAUGCCUGUUCGAGCGGCCCUCAUCAACCCUCAAGCCCCCGGGUGGUGUGGGCCCAAGGGAUCGGCGAGCCCUUGCGGCAAGCCGGCCCCGAAAUCUAAAGUGGCGGAACUCGCUGCAGCUCCAUGCGUAGUAGUAAAACCCUCGCAACUGGUACGCGGCGCGGCCAAGCCGUUAAACCCCCAACUCUGAAUGUUGACCUCAAAUCAGGUAGGGGGGAAUACCCGCUGAACUAAGCAUAUCAAAAGCGGGAGGAAUUGCAGAAUCAAG
rnacentral:sRNA from 1 species